GAGGCCAAGAGCGCGGGCGGCGAGGCAAGAUGGCGGCAACCAAGAGGAAACGGCGUGGAGGUUUUGCAGUUCAGGCGAAGAAGCCAAAAAGAAACGAAAAAGAUGCGGAGCCGCCAGCUAAGCGGCACGCCACAGCAGAGGAGGUGGAGGAAGAAGAGAGGGACCGGAUCCCAGGCCCCGUUUGCAAGGGAAAGUGGAAAAAUAAGGAACGGAUUCUCAUCUUUUCUUCCAGAGGAAUAAAUUUCAGAACAAGACAUUUAAUGCAGGACUUGAGAAUGUUGAUGCCUCAUUCUAAAGCAGAUACUAAAAUGGAUCGUAAGGAUAAGCUAUUUGUGAUUAACGAGGUUUGUGAAAUGAAGAACUGUAAUAAAUGCAUCUAUUUUGAAGCUAAGAAAAAACAGGAUCUCUAUAUGUGGUAAGAGAAUGUAUUAAGAUUUUGGUUAAACUCAUUUAAGUGGAUUUGUUCUUUGUACCUUUUAUGUUAUAGACUCCUAGUCUUUCAUGUUAAGAGGUUGAGAAUGAAGCAAACUUUUUUGAUUUCACAAAACUUGAUACCUUUAAAGAAAAUUAAAUAUAUGAAUAUUAUAAGCAUAUUAUUUAUGGUGAAUAGGUGGUAAGCCUUGACUACAUUCACUAAUUAGUUGAAAAAGCUUCCUCCAUAUCUUUCAGGCUUUCAAAUUCACCUCAUGGACCAUCUGCUAAAUUCCUUGUUCAAAAUAGUAAGUUGAUUCAAUAAAUAUUUUUAGAUGAGGAAAUUAAAAAUAAUCUUUUGAAAUAGUUGUGCAAGUUAUAACUAUUUUUGUUUUUGUUGUAAUUUUUCUAGUUCAUACUCUUGCUGAACUAAAGAUGACUGGAAACUGUUUGAAAGGUUCUCGGCCCCUUUUGUCUUUUGACCCUGUAAGUUUCUCAUUCAGUGUAUGAGGUCUAAUUUUCUUAUCUGGCAUGGUUGUUUUUAGUAGAUAUAGUUGUGUUAUUCAAUUUAGUUUUACCCCACCUUGAUUUUAUGGAUUAUCAAUUCUUUCAGGCACGUUUAUAAUGAGGUUAUAGCCAGGUUUAGAAACAAAUGAGCAAACAGUUUUAAACAAGGCAGUCUACUGUUAAAUAAUAUGCUUACCUUAUUUUUAUAGGCUUUUGAUGAAUUACCACAUUAUGCUUUGUUAAAAGAACUCUUAAUUCAGGUAAAUAUCUUUUAAAUUAGCUAUCCAAAAUAUACAUGAUAUAUCUUGGAAUAAGGAACUAAUAUACACUUUUUUAACUAGAUCUUUAGUACACCACGGUAUCAUCCCAAAAGCCAACCAUUCGUGGACCAUGUGUUUACUUUCACCAUUUUGGAUAAUAGGAUAUGGUUUCGGAACUUUCAGAUCAUAGAAGAAGAUGCUGCUCUUGUAGAAAUAGGACCUCGUUUUGUCUUAAAUCUCAUAAAGAUUUUCCAGGGAAGUUUUGGAGGACCAACUUUAUAUGAAAAUCCUCACUACCAGUCACCAAACAUGGUAAGCUGUUGUGUCAUUCAGUAGUCUUCAAUGUACCAGAACCCUUUGGCCAAAAUGAUUCUGUGAAGUAAUUGCUAUUUUAUUACCUGUGAAACUGAAUUUGGUUUUUGCUGCAUAGAGACUUGGAAAUUACUCCUUUUUUUCAUGACACUGGCUGAAAAGAUAUAUGGUUCAUAACUGAAAGUCUUUGCCUUAUAUAAAAUGUUUAUUUUUAUUUCAAAAGCAUCUAAUCUUUUUUUUUUUUUUUAAGCAUCGGCGUGUCAUAAGAUCCAUCACAGCUGCAAAAUACAGAGAGAAACAGCAAGUGAAAGAUGUGCAAAAACUGAGAAAGAAAGAGCCGAAGACUCUUCUUCCACAUGAUCCCACUGCAGAUGUUUUUGUAACGCCAGCUGAGGAGAAACCAAUAGAAAUACAGUGGGUGAAACCAGAGCCAAAAGUUGAUUUGAAAGCAAGAAAGAAACGGAUUUACAAAAGGCAAAGAAAAAUGAAACAGAGGAUGGACAGUGGGAAAACAAAAUAAGUCAAUGGAAACCUGAUUUGUUUUUCAGUUAUUUUAUAUUUAUUUUGUAUUCAAUUUGUAAAUACUUUUAUUAUCUAAUACUGUCUUAUGUCUAAUUAGUAUAGCAUUUAGAAGAAAGAAAAAUUAAGAUCUUAAAAUCAGUGAUUAUCUUUUUCUAAAUAAAAUAUCACCAGAAUUCAUCAGUU
rnacentral:sRNA from 1 species